AGUGAACGCUGGCGGUAGGCCUAACACAUGCAAGUCGAACGGCAGCACAGUAAGAGCUUGCUCUACUGGGGGGGGAGUGGGGGCCGGGGGGGGAUAAAACCGGAAUCUCUUUUUUGGUGGGGGUUACGGAAGGGAAAUUUAGGCAAUUACCGAUUCGGCCUUCGGGUGGAAGGAGGGGGACCUUCGAACCUUGCGGGAUUGAUUUGGCGGAUGUCGGAUUAGCUAGUGGGCGGGGUAAAGGCCCACCAAGGCGACGAUCCGUGGCUGGUCUGGGAGGAUGAUCAGCCACACUGGAACUGAGACACGGUCCAGACUCCUACGGGAGGCAGCAGUGGGGAAUAUUGGACAAUGGGCGCAAGCCUGAUCCAGCCAUACCGCGUGGGUGAAGAAGGCCUUCGGGUUGUAAAGCCCUUUUGUUGGGAAAGAAAAGCAGCAGGUUAAUACCCCGCUGUUCUGACGGUACCCAAAGAAUAAGCACCGGCUAACUUCGUG
rnacentral:rRNA from 1 species